CUGAGUUUAAAUUAUGACAUUCCUUCAAGGUUACUUUUUUUCUUCAUAAUAACUUCCACAUCCCCGCCUGGUCUUUUAACUACUGCUUUUUUCUUGACCUUAAUCCUUGAUUAGGGAACUUUCACGUUUUGACAUUCUUGGGUUUUAGAGAAAUGCUUAAGUGCUUCUUUAAUAACUGUAGUUAAUGUAUACCCCAUACUCAUGUGCAUGGGUAGACUAGAAGCAGGGUGUAUUGAGACCUCACUUUUGGGAUAUGCCCAGAGAGGCACCAAGUGGUCUUCACAGCCAGAAGAAUCCUGAGAAUGGCCAUGAAGCUGACAGACGCUAUAGAAACUCCUGCAGAGAUCAGAAGAUUCUUCAAACUGGGAAAAAAAAGAUGGAAACCAAACCACAUGAAUCACAACAGGAAGGCAAAGAAUCAUGCCUCAAAGAAGAAAUUGGGCUACAGUGACAAGAUAACCAGCAUCAAUAACAAAUACCCAAUGGAAGCAGACAGGCAGUUGUCAUGGUUUUGUGAUUUUUGGUUAUUGGUAUUCCACAUCAUAACAUCAUGUAGUGGACAUACCUAGUUCUCAGAAGAGAAGGACUACUACAGUCCCCACGGUACUUUGCUCCUUUGUUACCAUUUUCCAGCCGGAGGGAAAAGAUAGAAGCUCGCAGUAUAAAAACUUGCAGAUCACGAGACCUCGUCCCUUUUUCCGCCGUCUCUCGUCUUGGCAGCACCUCGCUCUCCAGCCGUCUUAUCGUCGGUAGUAGAGUAAGGCCUACCUUGAUUUUGGGACAUUCUCUCUCUCUGUAUUGGAUUUAUCAGCUUAAAUUGUAAUUAUAUUGUAUUAUAGUGUGUUGUUUUGCAUUCCGAUAUUUUAUUUAGUAAAUUAGUUUGUUUCUCCUCAGAUUGUUGCCGCUGUUCUUUGCUCUCAGGGCCAUCUCCCUACCCUUUUCCCCUUUCCCCUUUUCCCGGGACGUGGGCCCUUGGGUCCCCCGUCCCCUUUGUCACGGAAUCGGGCCUAACGCCCGUAAACCGUUGACAGCAGUAAAUAACUAUUAAAUGAAUAAUUAUCUGAAAUACAUGUGAUGUUUUAUAUUAGCCAUAGGUGUCCUUCAGAUACUGUUUAAGCUGUGAUAUUUAAUAUUACUGGUGUUUAUAGUUGUAAAAAUAGCAGCAUAAAUAUACCAAUGAGCUUUGAGAGAAUUAACUCUAUCUCUAAUGGAUUUCUUCCUAGUACUAAUGGUUCCACCUAAGCCAUUCUUAGGACCUUAACUAGGGCUCAUUUUGACUAGAUUUUAAGCCCCCAGCACUGGGGUGCAGAGGCUUUUCCAAGCUUCUUAACAUCCUCUAAUACAGUGAAGAGUUAGGUAAAUGUAUAGUGGAAUAAGAGCUGUUGUUGCCAGUUCUCUGCCAUCCUCCGGGCUGACUUAGCUGGCUGGUAGAUACUAGUUUCCUUUUGGUUUCCUUUAUUUUUGUUGGAAAAUGAUACAAAGAAGUAGUCUGACAAAUGCCUGCAGUUGUUCCGUGGUUAAUGGAGAGAGGAG
rnacentral:lncRNA from 1 species